rnacentral:rRNA from 1 species
GACGAACGCUGGCGGUAUGCUUAACACAUGCAAGUCGAACGAGACAAAAGAGAAGUGCUUGCACGGAUCUUUUAGAAAGUGGCGAACGGGUGAGUAACGCGUGGGUAACCUGCCCUAUGGAAAGGAAUAGCCUCGGGAAACUGGGAGUAAUGCCUUAUAAGAUAUAUUUGUCGCAUGGCAGAUGUAUUAAACGCUCCGGUGCCAUAGGAUGGACCCGCGUCCCAUUAGCUAGUUGGUGAGAUAACAGCCCACCAAGGCGACGAUGGGUAACCGGUCUGAGAGGGCGAACGGUCACACUGGAACUGAGACACGGUCCAGACUCCUACGGGAGGCAGCAGUGGGGAAUAUUGCGCAAUGGGGGCAACCCUGACGCAGCAAUACCGCGUGAGUGAAGAAGGUUUUCGGAUCGUAAAGCUCUGUUAUUGGGG